rnacentral:rRNA from 1 species
GUAGGUGGCAAGCGUUGUCCGGAAUUAUUGGGCGUAAAGCGCGCGCAGGUGGUUCUUUAAGUCUGAUGUGAAAGCCCCCGGCUCAGCCGGGGAGGGUCAUUGGAAACUGGGGAACUUGAGUGCAGGAGAGGAAAGUGGAAUUCCACGUGUAGCGGUGAAAUGCGUAGAUAUGUGGAGGAACACCAGUGGCGAAGGCGACUUUCUGGCCUGUAACUGACACUGAGGCGCGAAAGCGUGGGGAGCAAACAGGGAUUAGAUACCCUGGUAGUCCACGCCGUAAACGAUGAGUGCUAAGUGUUGGGGGGGUUUCCGCCCCCUCAGUGCUGCAGCUAACGCAUUAAGCACUCCGCCCUGGGAGUACGGUCGCAAGACUG